GAACAGUGAGAUUAAACCAGAAAGAUCGAGAGAGAGGGAGAUAGAGCUCGGUGCUCUAACCAGAGGAGCAGCACGGCCCGAGAGAGAAACCGGACCGGAGGGACGCCGUCCGGCCACCGAUCGACGACUCAAGACCACCGACCUCUUCCUCUUGUCGUCGCCGUCAUGCCUGUGGUCUUCGACUGCCCAUGCACCGGACGGGGAGGGAGAAACGUCGGUGAGAAGGUCUGAGUCUCUCCGGCGAGUUCUGCAAUUUCCGGCCACCGUUGGAGCUGCAAGUGGUAUGAAAAUUCAUCUCCUCGUCAAGCUCUACACCCCAGUAUAAUUAGAUUUUGAUUUUGACCCCGCGUUAACGAUUUCGUUUCUGAGUUUGAUUUUGAGUUUGCCGUGUUCCUCGACGCCGGUAGUUUUUCCGGUCAUGCUGGGCUUGGUUUUCAUCUUGGCUGCGUUGGUGGACAGAAAUCAAGAGACUUUCUGGGUUAUUGGCGUCAAAAUCCUCAGUUCAUCAUUAGCCCAAUUCAGCUAGGAAUUCCGGAAAACCGAGUUGGGUUGUGAAGGACUCCAGUUACCCGAGGAACAGAAGGUUCGCGACUCUCGGAGUACGUGAAAGCAAGCAUUGGAGUCCAGUAUGGAUGCAGGUACUGUGCACUGGUGACGGGACAAUAGCGGACGGAGCUGGGUGUGCAGAACAAGUUUGGUAAACCACCUUCUGGGCUUUAUUCUGAUUUCCAGUUCUCGAACUCCGUGUUUCGGAACUUGUGGUUAUUUAACAUCGUGUCAAAGUUAGUUGAAUUCUCUUUCAUUGAAAUUCAUACCUCGUGUGAUCCUUAUCCAAGUACUGGAUGAGUGAAAUAGAUUUCAGCAACUCUAGUUCUUCACCUCAAAAAUAUCGAUAGCUUCCGCUGUGUGUUGCAAAAAGUUUUCUAACGAAAUGCCUAGCGGUCCUCUAGAAUGUGAAUCGAGCUUUCGGUUUAUAUUUUAGAGCUCCGCGGCACUGUAACGUGCCCAAGCUGGUGAGGUGCGGCUUGGGGCGUUACAAAAAAAAUAAUCCAAAAUGAUAUAUUUUAAAUUGUCUAAAGCAAUUUGUUAAUAACUCUAUUAAAAGUAAUUCAAAACUAGUG